rnacentral:rRNA from 1 species
AAUUUUGGACAAUGGGGGGAACCCUGAUCCAGCCAUCCCGCGUGUAUGAUGAAGGUCUUCGGAUCGUAAAGCUCUGUCCUUGGGGAAGAAGAUCGAAAGAUUUGACGGUACACGAGGAGGAAGCCCCGGCUAACUACGUGCCAGCAGCCGCGGUAAUACGUAGGGUGCAAGCGUUAAUCGGAAUUACUGGGCGUAAAGGGUGCGCAGGCGGUUUAUCAAGAAAGGUGUGAAAUCCCCGGGCUUAACCUGGGAGUGGCACUUUUAACUGAUAGGCUAGAGUAUGUCAGAGGGGGGUAGAAUUCCACGUGUAGCAGUGAAAUGCGUAGAGAUGUGGAGGAAUACCGAUGGCGAAGGCAGCCCCCUGGGAUAAUACUGACGCUCAGACACGAAAGCGUGGGGAGCAAACA